rnacentral:rRNA from 1 species
UACGUAGGUGGCAAGCGUUGUCCGGAAUUAUUGGGCGUAAAGCGCGCGCAGGCGGUCCUUUAAGUCUGAUGCGAAAGCCCACGGCUCAACCGUGGAGGGUCAUUGGAAACUGGGGGGACUUGAGUGCAGAAGAGGAAAGCGGAAUUCCACGUGUAGCGGUGAAAUGCGUAGAGAUGUGGAGGAACACCAGUGGCGAAGGCGGCUUUCUGGUCUGUAACUGACGCUGAGGCGCGAAAGCGUGGGGAGCAAACAGG